rnacentral:lncRNA from 1 species
GUAUUUUGAGGAAUCCCUUUUGUGAUAGUAUUACUUCUAAGUCAUAGUAUUUCUGCUUUGUCAUAGUAUUUGUACUAAAACGUAGCAUUUCUGCCAAAUCAUAGUAUUACUGCUAUCUCAUAGUAUUUGAGUGAAAUUACAGUGUUUCUGCAAAAACAUUGUAUUUCUGCUAAAUCAUAGUAUUUCUGUUAUCUUAGAGUACUUGUACUCAAUUAUAGUAUUUGUGCCAAAGUUUAGUAUUUCUGCCAAAUCAUAUUUAUGUGAAUUUGUAUACUACUAAGUCGUAGAAUUUCUGUUAUGUUAUAGUAUAUCUGCUGAUUAUAAUAUAUGUACCAAAUCAUAGUAUUUAUAGCAAAUCAUAGUAUUUGUGCCCAAACAUAGUAUUUCUGCCAAAUUGUAGUAUUUGUGCAAAAACAUAGAAUGUCUGCAAAAUCACAGUAUAUCUGUUGUGUUAUAGUAUUACUAUUAAGGCAUAGUAUUUCUACCAAAUCAUAGUAUUCCUUCAAAAUCAUAGUAUUACUGCAAUUUCGUAGUAUUUGAGCAAAAUCGUAGUAUUCGUGCAAAAACAUACUAUGUCUGCAAAAUCACAGUAUAUCUGUUAUGUUAUAGUAUUACUUCUAAGGCAUAGUAUUUCUACCAAAUCAUAGUAUUCCUUCAAAAUCAUAGUAUUACUGCAUUUUCAUAGUAUUUGAGCGAAAUCGUAUUAUUCGUGCAAAAACAUAUUGUCUGUUAAAUCACAGUAUAUGUGUUAUGUUAUAGUAUUACUACUAAGGCAUAGUAUUUCUACCUAAUCAUAGCAUUCCUUCAAAAUCAUAGUAUUACUGCAAUUUCAUAGUAUUUGAGCAAAAUCGUAGUAUAUGUGCAAAAACAUACUAUUUCUGCAAAAUCACAGUAUAUCUGUUCUGUUAAAGUAUUAGUACUAAGUCACAGUAUUUCUGCCAAUUCGUAGUAUUUGUACUAAAUCAUGGUACUUGUGCCAAAUCAUAGUAUUUUUUGCAAAUCAUAGUAUUCGAACCAAAACAUAGUAUUUGUACGAAGUCAUAGUAUUUCUUCUAAAUCAUAGUAUUUCAAUCAAAUCUCAGUAGUUGUGCUGAAAUGCAGUAUCAUUGCCAAAUCAUAGUAUUUGUACUGAAACAUAGUAUUGUGCCAAAAGAGUAUUUCUACUAAACCAUGGUACUUGUGCCAAAUCAUAGUAUUUCUGCCACAUUGUGCUAGUUGUGCAAAAACAUAGACUGUCUGCAAAAUCAUAGUAUAUCUAUUAUGUUAUAGUAUUAUUACUAAGUCGUAGACUCUAUUUUGUUAUAGUAUAUCUGCUGAAUACAAUAUAUGUGCCAAAUCAUAGUAUUUAUAGCAAAUCAUAGUAUUUGUACUAAAACAUAGUAUUUCUGCCACAUUAUAGUACUUGUGUAAAACCAGAAUGUCUGCAAAAUCAUGAUAUAUCUGUCAUGUUAUAGUAUUACUACUAAGGCAUAAUAUUUCUGGAAAAUCAUAGUAUUUCAACUAAAUAACAGUAUUUCUGCCAAAUCAUAGUAUUUGUUUCAAAUCAUGGCAUCUGAACCAAAUCAUAGUAUUUGUGCCAAAACAUUGUAUUUGUACAA